rnacentral:rRNA from 1 species
AACGCUGGCGGUAGGCCUAACACAUGCAAGUCGAACGGCAGCACAGUAAGAGCUUGCUCUUACGGGUGGCGAGUGGCGGACGGGUGAGGAAUACAUCGGAAUCUACUAUUUCGUGGGGGAUAACGUAGGGAAACUUACGCUAAUACCGCAUACGACCUACGGGUGAAAGCAGGGGAUCUUCGGAACUUGCGCGAUUGAAUGAGCCGAGGUCGGAUUAGCUAGUUGGCGGGGUAAAGGCCCACCAAGGCGACGAUCCGUAGCUGGUCUGAGAGGAUGAUCAGCCACACUGGAACUGAGACACGGUCCAGACUCCUACGGGAGGCAGCAGUGGGGAAUAUUGGACAAUGGGCGCAAGCCUGAUCCAGCCAUACCGCGUGGGUGAAGAAGGCCUUCGGGUUGUAAAGCCCUUUUGUUUGGAAAGAAAAGCAGCAGGUUAAUACCCCGCUGUUCUGACGGUACCCAAAGAAUAAGCACCGGCUAACUUCGUG